rnacentral:lncRNA from 1 species
AAUAAACUUGGUACACAUUUCACCAAGAAUAUAAGUUCACAUCGCAUCAAUCUCACAGAAAGAACACAUAAUAAGGAUCUUAAUUUUCAAGAGGCAUUCCUUCGGUUAUCACGCUGAGCAACAACCAGUUGCAGCAAAACAAUCAAUAACACUUAAAACUACCAAACUAAAACCUUAAGCCUGAGAAUCUGCAUCUCCAUACAUAACACAACAACAAAUACCUAUACAUAAGUGGUCAAAUUCACUAUUGAACUAUCUUCCAGAAAGGAUCAUCAAAUUAUUCUCAGGUUCCAGAGUGAAUGCCUACAUCACGAUCACACGCAAUGGGCACAAGCAUCCGCUUACUGAAGGCCCGUGUUUGCACCUAAAGCCAAGCAAGAGCUUAGACUCGAGCUUCGUACCAGGCCAAUGUUGUCCAUGAUUCGCAAGCACGUCCUUUAAGUUCUUGAAACAGAGUAGAAACCUGCAUAUAUUUGUAAUCAGAAAUUAGAGAGAUCAACAAAGAAAAAGGAGGGAAAGUCUCAUUAUUUUGGGAAUUCCUAUUUUAUUAGGGAAAGGGAGCACAAGAGAUUCUUAAUCCAUCCUAGUGAGGUUACAAUAUCCAUGCAAAAAACCAGGGGGAAAGAGGAGGCAGUAAUUCCAUGUAAGAAUCAUAAUGUAGUACCAGUAGUGACAUAGAAUAACAUAGAGAUUGCGAUAAGGUUUUAUAAUGUAUAUAUAUGGCAUGGAUCUCACCAUUAUUUGCUGGAGAUUAAUAACACAAAUUAUUAUUUUUGCAUGUAUCCUGCCAUCACGUGCAUUAUUUCAUUUUAGUACUUAGUAAACAACAAAGUUAAACUUGCACCAUCCCAACAAGUGGAUCUUCUAGUUACUCUGUCAAUCAACAUAUUGACUUGAAAAGAACUAAUAUUCCAUACAAUCGAGAAAAUAAAAUUCAAGUAGCAACAAUGCAGGUAUAUGGACUGAACUCUUCCUCAAAAUAAUACGUAUAUGCUUCAGAUUUAACUACCAUGUAUUUAUUCCACCUAUCUUCUAACCAGAUAGUUUAAGAGACUCUCACUAAAAAUGUUAAAAUGAGAAUCCUAUGAAAUAUCAUGAAAUACAGAAGGUUCUUUAUAAAUGAAGAAGAUGGUUAACAGGGCAAGCUUAGAAUAAUCCACUAAAGCAAAGAAUGUGAGUAUAAUUGAAAAAAGCAUGUCACAGCAAUUCCACACACACACACACAAUGUGCCACAUAGAAAUUCAGGAUAGCAAAAGAAAAAAUUAGUUACUUAGCCUUAUAUCAAUCUCCACCGAUGGUUGGAUCCUCCAUUGCUGCAACUCCGCCUGCUUUUAAUGGCAUAGGUGAGCGCGCGCACACACACACACAAUGACCUAUAGGCGGCCGACGGAUUACGUUAGCGUAUCACGUGAGGUUGAGAAAGCACGUAUCCAUGUCGAGCACCAAUGGGCUUGUUUGCACAUAUUUUGAAUGAUGAUAGUAUCAAAGUGACUUGAGGUGCCUAGAAAAGCAGAGUGAGCACUACAUAUAAUAUUAGCAGUUAAAGAAAUGAUAAAUACCGUGGUUAACUCAACAGAUCCAUCCAAAUAUCUAACAACCAUUUGUGACUUGUUGGAAGUAUACCAGAACGACAACCUUCUACAACACAUGUAACUCUAAACAGAUCCAAGUUCUCGGGUCUAAAAUAAUCUUAGACAAACAAACAACUUGUCGGAGUAAAUGGCCACGGGUAGCCUAACCGACUGCCCCUGGCUCUUCAAAAAUUAUCAGGCCAUUUGAGCCUUCAAGCAUUCAAGCAUUGGGCCGCCUUCCCCGGUCGGCUACCUCUGAAACCGACUCUCAGAAGGCGACCCAGCCUCAGCAACCUCCCCCCAAGAUAACCACGGGAUGGCCGACUCCAGGAAGCCGGCCAUAGAGGAUGCCGACUCCCCAGAGCCGGCCAUGAAGAACGCCGACUCCCCAGAGCUGGCCACGAAGGGCGCCGACUCCAAGAAGCCGGCCAAGCCCGCACCCACCAAAACUACAUCCACAUAACGGUGACAAGACGGGGUGUGGCCACAGUGCGGCCCACUACCCCCAAAGCCCGAGGCAGGCAUGGCCACAGGACGUCGUACGGGGCGGCCAUAUCCCGUCCAGCUCGGCACUGUAGCCAUGCUGGCCUCAACGUCACCCACGACAGACGCCAGUACGGCCCACGGGCGGCGGGACCCUUUAGCCAGAGAGAGGCGCGAAGGCGGCCCGGCCUCCCCCAGUCGGCCAAGGGCGUAGCCAGCCCCCAGAAGCCGGCUACCCCCUCCCUUGAAGCAUGUGCCACAUUAAGGAGACAAGACAAGGUAAGGCUACAGUGAGAGCCCUCAAGGCGGCACACUGUAGCCACGCUUACCUCGACGAAGCCCUCGUCAUCAGGGACGAGGCUACAGUAAGCAGCCGCUGACAAGACCCCUAGGCAGUGGGGCCGGCCUGUCGACCAAGAGGCCGGCAGCCGGCGGGACCCACUAGUCGGCAGGCCCCAACAGCCGGCGGAGAAGCCGGCGAGCGCAGACACUGACGACUGGGACUCGCGCCCAGCCGGAUUACAAUUGUACCCCCGGGGGGUAGGCCUAUUUAAACCCCCCGGGGCACCCAUGCAAAGGGUUGGCUUCUUAGAGUUACACACACACCAUAGAGAGAGGGAAGCAAGAGCUAGCCUUGCUCUUCUUCUCCCUUGAACCCGACAGCUCUAGGAGCAUUUGUAGCUACUCUUUCCGAUCUAGUGAUCAUGCGGAGACCCCGCAGAGCAGGACUAGGGGUGUUAUCUCCUCGGAGAGCCCCGAACCUGGGUAAGAUUCGCCGGCGUGCAUGUCUUCGCCUCAUCCCGUUUCCAGGCACCGGCGACGUCUUACUGGCACCCACCAUGAUAAGCCACCCGUUGGCAUAUGUCGCACCUACCACCCGACAUUUGGCGCCCACCGUGGGGCCAGGUGCACCGUUGUCCGGAGACCUGUUCUGGACGGGAACCCUUUUCCUCCCCCGCGAGCGCAGCCAGCCUGCUGCGCCCGAUGGCGCUUGCCUCGACGCGCUGCAAGGCGUCGACGACGCCUGCGCAGCGAGCUGCCUCGCCGAUCUGCUCGGCGAGACUCGCAUCUCCGACGAGCCCGCAUCCGACGCGGGCACAGACUACCCCGAGAGCCGCCUUGUCAGCCUCCUCGACCAGCUUCACGUCUCUAGCGAGCCUGCUGUAGAUGUGGAGUCGGUCGGCUCCACCGACCCGAUGCUCGUCGACUCCGACACGGCAUCGCUCGACACCUACCCCUCCGACGUGGUGGUCUUCGACGAUCCUCUCCCUCGAGCUGACAGUGGCAGCAGCGCUAUCACCGAAGUGUUGGUCAUCAGCCACGUCGCCAACUCGGGCGAGAACGCCCACGACGCCCUGCAAGCGGCAAUGCACGACCUAUCCGUCCCCAUCCCCGCCGACGCCGACGCCGAGACCCUGGAGGCACGCCGCCUCGCCCUCGUCGCGGAAGGCCAGAAGAUAGCCUCCAUGAGACGCCUCACCGAGGCCCACCAGCACGAAGUCGACCGCGCCGCCUUCGGUACGCCGCCGCCUAGCGGGCCGAGCCGAGCCGGCUUCGUCCAGAAGCGUGGCGCGGCUAUCACCAGCAUGCUGCGGGCAGAUCGCCCUGUCUACGCCACCCCGCUCGAGAAUCUGCGAGCCGCUCAGGCGGCCGCUGAGGAGCUAAAUGGGCUGGGAGCCGACGAGCUCCCCUACAUGACAAGGCGGGUCCAGCAGCUGAUCGACGCGGCUGCAGAACGGCACGAAGCCGGCGCCCGCGCCGAUAGUCAUCCCCCGCGCCGGGAGCACGCCGUGACGUCCCGCUCACCGACUGCAAGCGGCGCCCGCCAGAAGAAGGACAAGGAGCCGGCUGCUAGCCGCAGCCGGACUCGCAUCACCAUCGAGCGCGACGCGGAAGGCCGCCCUCGAGCGGUGGAGCGCCAAGGAAAUCUGCCUCCUCCCCCGCCUCGAAGGGAGAGACGUCUCACCCCGCCGCCCGUCACGCACCCGACUCUUGGUGACCGACUAGGCCGCCGAGAAGGAGUCGGCGAGAACGAAGCCCUCCACCGGAUCGACCGCCUUGCUUGAUCCCUGGCGCUAGAAGAAGAAGACGAUGUCAGCCCGCCAUGCUUUGGCCCCUGCAUCCGCGACGAGCCCUUCCCCAAAGGGUUCUCGCUCCCCAGAGACACGCCCAAGUACAAUGGCUCUGUGAAGCCGGAAGAUUGGCUCAUCGACUACUCCACUGCUGUCAGCAUAGCCAACGGCAAUCGGCGCGUGGCCGUAAAGUACGUCCCCCUCAUGUUGCAAGGCACGGCGCGCACCUGGCUCAACAGCCUCAAGCCCUACAGCAUCAACAGCUGGCUGGACUUCACGGAAGUCUUCGUCCGCAACUUCACCAGCACGUACAAGCGGCCUCCCAAGCCUCGCCGGCUCUCCCUGUGCGUCCAAGGGCCCAACGAGUCGACCCGCGACUACCUCACGCGGUGGGCCGAGCUCCGCAACUCCUGCGAGGGGUGCACGAGGUCCAGGCCAUCGAGUACUUCGCCGCCGGGUGCCGAGAGGGCACCCUCCUCAAGCACCGACUCCUCUGCGACGAGCCGGCUACCCUCGACGAACUGCUGAUCAUCGCGGACAAGUAUGCCACGGCCGACUCCUCGAUGAAGACCGAGCUCCGAGUGGACGCCUCUGGGAAGGUGCUCGCUCCGGCUCCAAAGACGCCGGCUGGCGACUCCAAUCGGCGCCCCUACCAGAACGAUCACAAGCGCAAGGCCCCCAUGCCGCCUUCCACCAGUCGGCAUGUGGCCACAGUUGAAGAUGAGCAGCCCGAAGAGCGGCCCGCUCCCAAGAAGAAGGGUGGCAGGCCGGCUUGGCAGCCGGCUUUCUCUUACGAGCAGACUCUCGACGCCCCCUGCAAGUUCCACAGCGGCGCGAAGCCGUCCAACCACACGACCCGAAAAUGCCACUGGCUCACGCGAAUCUCCAAGGGCGAAGGGCUGGUGCCGCCUCCGCCUCCCGGCCCGCCGCCUCCAGCCCCCCAGCAGCCGGCGGCUCGGCCGGCAGUCGGAGCCAUUCAAGACGAGUUUCCCGAAGAGCACGCCGCCUACGUCGUCUUCACCAGCCAAGCCGAAGACAAGCGCAGUCGGCGCUGUCAGCAUCAAGAGGUCAACGCAGUCGCCUCUAGCGCCCCCGAGUUCAUGCACUGGUCAGAUAAGCCAAUCAGCUGGAGUCAGGCCGACCACCCAGAGGUGAUGCCAUCCCCUGGCUCCUAUGCACUGGUCUUGGAUGUCACUCUCGCGACGAGGACGCGAGCUGCCCGAUUUUCCCGCGUCCUGAUAGAUGGCGGAAGCAGUAUCAAUAUACUGUACUACGAUACCAUGGAGAAGCUGAACAUCAAGGCGAAGCAGCUUAUGCCAAGCCGAACCGUGUUCCAUGGUAUCGUCCCCGGCUUGUCUUGUUCCCCGAUCGGCAAGAUCAAGAUGGAUGUUCUCUUCGGAGACAAAGAUCAUUUUCGCCGAGAAGCGAUCUGGUUCGAAGUAGUGGAUCUGGAGAGCCCCUAUCAUGCUUUGCUUGGCCGACCUGCUCUGGCCAAGUUCAUGGUUGUGCCCCACUAUGCCUACCUGAAGAUGAAGAUGCCGAGCUCGAAGGGGAUCAUCACGGUAGCCGGCGACUACAGGAAGUCCAUCGAGUGCGCCAUGGCCAGUAGCCAUCUGGCCGAGUCCCUUGUAGUGGCCGAAGAGAAGAAGAUGCUGGAACGGGUUGUGGCCAUGGCCGGCAAGCAGCCGGCCCUGUCCCCCAAUCCCAAGGACUGUGAUGCACAAGGCUCCUUCCAGCCGGCCAAGGAGACGAAGAAGAUACCUCUGGACCCGGAGAAUCCGGAGAGGUUUGCCGUCAUUGGGGCAAACUUGGACAGUAAAUAGGAAGCCGAGCUCGUCGACUUCCUCUGUGAGAAUCGAGACAUUUUUGCAUGGUCCCCAAAGGACAUGUCCGGUGUCCCGAAGGAUUUCGCCGAGCACAAAUUACAUGUCCGAGCCGACGCGAAGCCGGUCAAGCAGCCCCUCCGCCGAUUGUCAGAAGAGAAGCAAAGAAUCGUAGGAGAAGAGAUAGCCCGGCUCCUCGCCGCUGGCUUUAUUAUGGAAGUGUUUUUUCCAGAGUGGCUUGCCAACCCAGUUCUGGUAUUGAAGAAGAACAACAAGUGGCGUAUGUGUAUAGACUACACCGGCCUGAACAAGGCCUGCCCCAAGGAUCCGUUUGCUUUGCCACGGAUCGACCAAGUGAUUGACUCCACAGCCGGAUGCGAGCUGUUGAGUUUUUUGGAUGCCUACUCAGGGUACCAUCAGAUCAAGUUGGACCCAGCAGACCGCCUGAAGACUGCCUUCAUCACACCAUUUGGAGCUUUCUGCUACCUAACUAUGACAUUCGGCCUGAGGAAUGCCGGUGCCACUUUUCAGCGUUGCAUACAGAAAUGCCUCCUCAAGCAACUCGGCAGAAAUGCCCACGUCUAUGUAGACGACAUUGUGGUGAAGACAGAGAAGCGCGGCACCCUGCUGGAAGACCUGAAAGAAACAUUCGCCAACUUGCGCCGAUUCCAAAUCAAGCUCAACCCCGAGAAAUGCGUGUUCGGAGUACCAGCCGGCCAGCUGCUAGGCUUCCUGGUCUCCGAACGCGGCAUCGAGUGCAACCUUGUGAAAAUCAAGGCCAUCGAGAGGAUGGAGAUUCCCACCAAAUUGCGAGAUGUGCAGAAGUUCACCGGGUGCCUGGCCUCCCUAAACCGCUUUAUCAGCCGACUAGGAGAGAAGGCUCUCCCCCUGUACCGACUCAUGAAGAAGUCCACUCACUUCGAGUGGAAUGACCAAGCCGACCAAGCCUUCCAUGAGUUGAAGAAGAUGCUGACCACUCCGCCUGUCCUGGCAGCGCCGACUGAGAAGGAGCCCAUGCUCCUCUACAUUGCCGCUACUAGCCGAGUAGUCAGUACAGUUGUUGUGGUCCAGCGCCCGGAAGAAGGCCGAGCCCAGCUAGUCCAGAGGCCGGUGUACUACCUAAGCGAAGUGCUAUCCAGCUCAAAACAGAACUACCCGCACUACCAGAAGAUGUGCUAUGGGGUGUACUUCGCCGCCAAGAAACUGAAGCCCUACUUCCAAGAGUAUCCCAUCACGGUCGUGUGCACCGCCCCGCUCGCCGAGAUAAUAGGCAGCCGGGAUGCAUCCGGCCGGGUGGCUAAAUGGGCCAUUGCACUGGCGCCAUACACGAUCUUCUACCAACCCCGCACCGCCAUCAAGUCCCAAGCACUGGCCGACUUCCUCGUCGACUGGGCCGAGACCCAGUACCUACCGCCGGCUCCCGACUCUACCCAUUGGCGGAUGCACUUCGACGGGUCCAAGAUGCGCACCGGCUUGGGAGCCAGCAUCGUCCUCACCUCUCCCAAAGGCGACAAGCUCAGAUACACGCUGCAGAUCCACUUCGCCGCCUCCAACAACGUGGCCGAGUACGAGGCGCUCGUACAUGGGCUCCGGCUAGCCAAAGAGCUCAGCAUACGCCGGAUCCUGUGUUACGGCGACUCAGACUUGGUGGUCCAGCAGUCGUCUGGCGACUGGGACGCCAAGGACGCGAACAUGGCGAGCUAUCGAUUCCUCGUCCAGCAGAUCAGCGGGUACUUCGAAGGGUGCGAGUUCCUUCACGUGCCAAGGGCCGACAACGACCAAGCAGAUGCCCUAGCACGGAUCGGCUCCACCCGACAAGCCAUACCGACUGGCGUCUCCCUCCAGCGCCUCCUCAAGCCGUCCAUCAAGCCGUCUCCAGAGUCGGACUCUAUCUUCGUACGGCCUGUGCCAGAUGCAGCCGGAUCCGACUGGAGGAACCCCGCAGGCAGCACGGGGACUUCGACAACUGGCCCGUCGACUGCCGUAGUCGCACCCGGCCCGGGGACUUCAGAACCCGGCCCGGGGACUACAGCAGUCGGCCCGGGGACUGCAGCAACACAAGAAGCGGUGGCCGACUCCAAUUCCACGCCUCCCGACCCACCCACCCGAGUCAUGGUGGCCGUCCUAACAGAAGAAGAAGUCACAGCUCCAUCAUGGGCCCAGCCCAUCCUCAAGUUCCUAGUCAGCAGAGAGCUGCCGGCUGAUGAAAUCUCAGCAAGACUGGUGCAACGACGAGCCGGAGCAUAUGCAAUAAUCAACAGAGAGCUUGUUAAGCGCAGCGUCACUGGAGUCUUCCAGCGUUGUGUCGAGCCAGAGAAAGGAGUGGCAAUCCUCAAGGAUAUCCAUCAAGGCGAAUGCGGCCACCACGCUGCCUCAAGAUCACUUGUGGCCAAAGCUUUUCGCCAUGGUUUCUUUUCGCCGACUGCUUUGGAAGAUGCCAAAGAGAUAGUCAAGAGCUGCAGAGGAUGCCAAGUUUUCAGUUCCAAGCAACACCUGCCGGCUUCUGCACUCAAGACCAUUCCCCUCACCUGGCCCUUUGCCGUCUAGGGACUGGACAUGGUGGGCCCUUUCAAGACAGCCCGCGGCGGCUUGACACACCUGCUUGUCGCCGUGGACAAGUUCACCAAGUGGAUCGAAGCGAAGCCGAUCAAGAAGCUGAACGGGCCGACUGCCGUGACAUUCAUCACUGACAUCACUACUCGGUACGGCGUGCCGCACAGCAUCAUCACCGACAACGGCAUGAACUUUGCCAAAGGAGCACUGGCACGUUUCUGCGCGACGCAGGGCAUCCGACUGGACUUAGCGUCCGUUGCCCACCCGCAGUCAAACGGCCAGGUCGAGCGAGCAAAUGGACUCAUCCUCUCCGGCAUCAAGCCCCGAUUGGUUGUACCACUGGAGCAAUCGGCCGGCUGCUGGCUCGAUGAGCUGUCGGCUGUCCUCUGGAGUCUGCGCACUACACCCAGCAAGUCAACCAGCUUCACUCUGUUCUUCCUUGUAUAUGGUGCCGAGGCUGUCAUCCCAACCGACAUCGAGUUCGACUCGCCUCGGGUCACCAUGUACACGGAGGCGGAGGCCAAGGAAGCAAGAGAAGACGACGUCGACCUACUAGAAGAAGGCCGGCUGUUAGCACUCAGCCGGUCCGCCAUCUACCAGCAAGGGCUGCACCGCUACCACAACCGCAAGGUCAAGCCAAGAUCCUUCCAAGAGGGCGACCUUGUGCUUCGGCUGAUCCAGCGAACAGCCGGCCAGCACAAGCUCUCGGCCCCUUGGGAAGGCCCCUUCGUCAUCAGCAAGGCACUAGGCAAUGACUCCUACUACUUGAUCGACACGCAAAAACCAAGAGCACGCAAGAGAGAUGACUCCGGCAAGGAGUCGGAGCGACCAUGGAACGCGAACCUCCUAAGAAGAUUUUACAGUUGAAAGCAGUAUGUAUGAUGCUACCCUUUUGUAUUAGGUACGAACCAACAGGCCCCCCGAACAGUACUCAGGGACUGCCUUUAUUUAUCUAUGAAUGACGAGUGUCAUAUCCAUGAAUGUAUUAUUACAUUUGAUUUCUUGUCUGGCACCGGGUUCGACUAGUCGGCCCGGGGACUGGCCGCCUUGAGCUAUAUUAAAAGUUCUACCUGAAGUCAGACAAGUAGUGUGCCAGCUCCCGAGUCCUCCCUUGUUGAAAGUCGCAGCUCAAAGAACCGACUGUCCGACUAGCAAGAGACAAGGCAGAAAGGAUGCCCACACGAAAAACGGCUAAGGACUAACGAACUUAUAUAGCAAAAAGACGGCCUCCAACCACGCUUGCCGGCUGUCAGAACAGCCGGCUGGCCGGCUUCCUAAACACUUAGCUCUAAUCCAACAAAGCUAGAGUACUUGCCCUCCCAAUUGGCCAAGCACUCAUCCAGCCACAGAUUGCAGAGCAACUGUCUGACUGGGGAGGCGGCAACCAAGGGAGGGCGGCAAAGGAAACAGCAGAAGGAUGAAAAGCAAAGAACGAGGAAAAGCCAAACGCAUGCAUAAGUCAUAUAUACAUAUAAAGCCCCCAACAGGCCGGCAAUCGACAUAGUUCGAAUACACCCCCAGUGGGUGGAAUUGUGCAGACUUAACAGAAUAUUAUUCCAAAAGUGACAAGACAGGAAAACAAAAGAUAGCAGACUAGACUAAGGCGCGGUGCGGGAGCCAGGCUGGUCGGUGGAGAUGGCGUCGCCGGCUGAAGGAGUGGCCGGCUGGCGGGUCUCGUCUUGGUCACCACCGGUGGCAGGCGACGCACCCGCGCGUGACGUGGUGCUGGAGGCACGGUCAGGCUGAGACUGGUCGGCCGCUCCACCAUCCGGCUCGGCGUCUUCACCCUCCUCCUCCUCCUCUUCGCCCUCGUCGCUGGAGUCGAUCUCCUCCGCCGAGUCUUCACCGUCUGCCGGGUUCAGCCCGAACCACUCCUCCGGCUGGGCGACACCGUUGUCAUCUACCUCAGGGGCGAAGACGCUGGUGUCGGUGUAGUCGGCGAUCGCCGAAGCCCGCCAUAUGAUAGCCGGCCGCGCCGGCUCCAGCUCCGUGUCGGCCUGCUGCCGCCAGGUAGCCAGCUGGUCCAGACUCAGGCCGGGAUACCAGGCCUUGACGAACUCCAGCGCCCGCCUGGCGCCGGACCGAGCCGCCGAGGCCUUCCAGGCUUCGAAGCGACCGACCGCCACCACCAGCCAGUCGGCAGUCUGACUGGGGGUGCGGAGAACCACUUCGCCGGGCCAGAGGGCGGCCAAUACUUGCGCCCCGGCACGCUGAAGCCGGCGGAGCAGUCGGUGAGCCGGCUGGAGACGGGCCUGGAUCGCCAAGAGCUGCUCCUCCAGCGAACGGCCAGCGUUUGGUGCAAUCUCGACGCCAGCCUGCCUUCGUGCUUGGCGGCGGGCUUCGAUGAUCUGGUUGGCGGCGGUAGAGUAGCCAGGGAAGUACUCUGCGCAAGAAAGAAAGAGAAAGAAAAGAAAACACCAAGUCAGAAAACGAGCCAAAAGCGGCAGACGGCAAGAAAGGACGAAGAAGUAGGCGGCUUACCGUCAACCAGAUCUUCGAUCUGGCCAUAGCCAUUGAUCAGAGUCUGCUUUGCUUCAGCCCAGCCAGCCGCUUCUGUCUCGUACUCGGCCUAGAGGGCGGCUUCGCGGUCCUGCACCGCCUUCAGAGCUGCCUUGUGUCCCUCCUCCUGGUCGGCCAACCUCUUGGCUAGGCGGUCACGUUCCUGCACCAAGGCGGCAAACUCGGCCUCCUUGGCACGAAGGGCCGUCUGAGACUCUCCCAGCUGUGCCCUCAGACCGGCGUUGGCCGCUGCAGGGACGGCAGAAAAAGAAAAAACAAUAAGAGGAAGUCGUCAAGGAAGAUCCGACCCGACUGCUCAGCAGUCGGCCCGAAUCUCGGGGACUACACCUAGUGGGUGCGCUGACGCGCCCCCACAUGAGAUAAAGAACAAAGCACUUACCCCGACUCUCAGUUAGGUCGGCGGUCUUCUGGGUCAGCUCCCGAGCCUGGGAGUUGAAGGCGACCGCACGAAGAUUGUGGUAGUCCUGCAAGAUAGGCAGAAGAUCGAAGUAAGAACAAGAAUAGCAAAGCCAAAUCCACUAAGAAGUUCCAAGCCGCCUGCUCAGCAACCGACUCGGAACUCGGGGACUACACCCAGUGGGUGCACUGACGCGCCCCCAUGGAAGAAACCAAGAUCAAGAAGAAGCAAGAUAAGAAGACUAACCCGGAUGGCCGCCCGCGUCGCAAGGAAUUCGUCGGUGUAUUGUCUCAGCGCCGUAGCCUGGGCCUGGAGCCGGGUCCGGACGUCCUGCGCGGCCACGUUCAUCACGGUCGUCCCUCCGCCCGGCGUCCACCCCGAGGUAGCGCUGGCCACCUCCACAUCCUGGGCUGACGAGCUGGAGCCCGCGGCCGGCUGCGGCUCCGACGCAGCCUUCUGUGGCUCUGACGCUGCCUUCCCCGCGCGCCGGCUCGGCGGCAUCCGGACCGCCAGCUCAGUNNNNNNNNNNNNNNNNNNNNNNNNNNNNNNNNNNNNNNNNNNNNNNNNNNNNNNNNNNNNNNNNNNNNNNNNNNNNNNNNNNNNNNNNNNNNNNNNNNNNNNNNNNNNNNNNNNNNNNNNNNNNNNNNNNNNNNNNNNNNNNNNNNNNNNNNNNNNNNNNNNNNNNNNNNNNNNNNNNNNNNNNNNNNNNNNNNNNNNNNNNNNNNNNNNNNNNNNNNNNNNNNNNNNNNNNNNNNNNNNNNNNNNNNNNNNNNNNNNNNNNNNNNNNNNNNNNNNNNNNNNNNNNNNNNNNNNNNNNNNNNNNNNNNNNNNNNNNNNNNNNNNNNNNNNNNNNNNNNNNNNNNNNCGUCGUCAUCCCUCUCCAGCCCCGGCUGGUCACCGCCGGCUUCUUCUGGCGGGGGCUCCGGGGCUUCGGGGCCCCAGGCGCUGUGACGCGCUGUGGGGUGACCAACAAGGCCCCUCCGCCGUCGCCGCAGCUGCAGCCUCUGCUUGGGCCCUCGCUGCGGCGUCAGCGCGCGCCUUCGCCGCCUCCUCCUCCUGCGCCGCCUUGGCGGCGGCCGCCUUCGCCACCUCCGCCUCCCGCGCCUCCCGCUUCUCCCGCACCUCCCGCGCGUUUCGCUCCGUCGCCGCCAGAAGAUCGGCACGGGGGUCCACGCGGCGAGUGGUGCUCCCAGAUCCCCUCGAUGACUCAACGACGGAGGCGGCAGCCGCCCGCUCGAGCGACAAUGGAGCUCUGGUUGUUUGGAGAAAAAGACAAGGAUUCAGGAGCCACCAGAGAAAAGAAAAAAAGUACACAAAAGAGUUUGAACUUACGCCGACACCGUCUGCGGUUGCUUCACCGCCUUGCGGAAGCAAGCCGCCUUCGCGGCCGCCUAGUCGCCGCUGCCCCGCCUCGGGGUUUCUUCGACCGACUGCCGAACAAACCCUGCGCGGCACGACGCUUUUGCCCGCCGCCCCGAGCAGGCGGCGCAGCGGAGGAACCCGCGCCGCGGCCAGACGCCGGCUGACGGCGCGGGACGACUUCGGUCUCGUCAUCGUCCGGCCAGUCGUCGAAGCUGACUCCAAGCCCGGAGCUUCCUGCUUCGCCGCCGGCUUGGCCACCGCCCGGCUCGGUGUUGUUGUCCAUAGCAGCCGCCCCCAUGUCGGGGUCCUCCAGAUCGUGCUCCGUCCGGUCCGGGACGAAUCGGCGCUCCGCGUCUGACCCGGCUGCAGGCCGAAGAAGAGGGCUCUGUCGAGGCAAGCCGACUAGUCAGAGUCGGCCAAAAGGAACUCGGCGACAAAACUGAGAGAAGAAGAAGAGACAAGGAGAACAUACCGUAGGCGGCGGAUUGGCUCGGCAAUAUGGCUCCUUGCCGAACUUCCACUCUGCGGAGAGUUUGCAGUUCGCAAGGUAGUUCACCAUAUAUGCCACCUCGUCGUGCGGCAUGUCCUUGGUACACAUCCGGCUCGGAUCAAGCUGGCCGCUCAUCUGACAGAUCAGAUGAGGGCGGCUCUGGAGCGGGAGUACCCGGCGCGUGACGAAGGCGGCCAGCGAGUCGGGCCCCGACAAGCCCUCCGACUGGAUCAUCGCUCGCACUCGGGCGACGGCUGCGUUUCCAGCCGGCGUCAGCGUCACGGCCCGGUAGGACCACUGGGGCCGCCUGCCCGCCGGUGGGCCGGCUACGUAAGCCGGCAGAUUGACGUAGUCGCCCUGCGGGGCGACGUUCCUCACGUAGAAGUAUGACUUUUGCCAUAGCUUCACCGACUGGAUCAGCGUGAUGACGGGGAAGGGGUUGUCGGCAGCCACCCUCCGCAUCGCGAUGAAGGCGCCACUCUGAGCCGGCACGCCUUGCAUGCGCGUGCCCAGCUUGGACUGGAAGAACUCCCCCCAGAGCUCGAGGGUGGGGAGGACGCCGAGGUAGCCUUCGCACAAGGUGACGAAGGCGGACAGCAGCACCACUGUGUUUGGGGGGAGGUGGUGCGGCUGGAGUUGGUAGAACUCGAGCCAAGAGCGGAAGAAGGCGCUCACGGGCAGGCCGAUGUCGCGCAAGAAAUGCGAGCGAAAGACUACCCGCUCGCCCUCCCGCGGCUCCGGCGUAAUCUCCUUCGCCGGCGCGAGACGGACCUCCACCUUGUCCGCGCCGGGCAGCCGCCAUGUCUUGCGGAGGAAUUCGACGUGAUCCUUGUGGACGUUGGAACCGUCCCAAUCCCCGCCAUACUGCAUCGUGGCGUGGGGCUGGCGAGAACGAGCGCGGCGGCGGAGGAGCGAGUGGUGGAAGAGCGCGGCGGCGAGGCGCUGUUGCAAGAAAGGGCAGGAGGAAGAAGAUGGUGGAAGGAGGAGGAGCGUGCGAGGCCUGCCGCCCUCCCCCUCCCCCUACUUAUAGCUUCGCAAGGUGAAGCCGGGGAGGCCGGACGUGGGGUGAGACGUGGGAUUAACUGCACCCACUCCCCCCACGCCUCGCGAUUAUUACGCCCUAAAAGCAUGCCGAAACCGCCGCAGGGAGACGUGCGGGCGGCUUCGGGCCGCAGAGAAUCUACACCUGGGCCCGGGCGUGGGCGUGGCGGGCCCCCGCCCUGCGGCGACGUCCCGUCGCGCACGUGGGCUGGCAGGCUUUUUAGCCAAGAGAGGCCACGUGGUUCGCAGGCGGCAAGUGGCCGGCCCGCGGACCGGUGCACGCGCUGGUGAGCUCCCGCCCUCCGACUCCAAAUUUUUUGGCCAAGACGGCGCGCCCAACCAAAGCCGGCUCCCAGCUGCCGGCUUGUCAAGAUAGGAAGCUGAUCGAGCUUCUCGACUCCUGCCCAACCUCGAAGCCCAAUCAGCUUCGGGGACUACUGUCGGAGUAAAUGGCCACGGGUAGCCUAACCGACUGCCCCUGGCUCUUCAAAAAUUAUCAGGCCAUUUGAGCCUUCAAGCAUUCAAGCAUUGGGCCGCCUUCCCCGGUCGGCGACCUCUGAAACCGACUCUCAGAAGGCGACCCAGCCUCAGCAACCUCCCCCCAAGAUAACCACGGGAUGGCCGACUCCAGGAAGCCGGCCAUAGAGGAUGCCGACUCCCCAGAGCCGGCCAUGAAGAACGCCGACUCCCCAGAGCCGGCCAAGAAGGGCGCCGACUCCAAGAAGCCGGCCAAGACCGCACCCACCAAAACUACAUCCACAUAACGAUGACAAGACGGGGUGUGGCCACAGUGCGGCCCACUACCCCCGAAGCCCGAGGCAGGCAUGGCCACAGGACGCCGUACGGGGCGGCCAUCUCCCUUCCGGCUCGGCACUGUAGCCAUGCUGGCCUCAACGUCACCCACGACAGACGCCAGUACGGCCCACGGGUGGCGGGCCCCUUUAGCCAGAGAGAGGCGCGAAGGCGGCCCGGCCUCCCCCAGUCGGCCAAGGGCGUAGCCGGCCCCCAGAAGCCGGCUACCCCCUCCCUCGAAGCAUGUGCCACAUUAAGGAGACAAGACGAGGUAAGGCUACAGUGAGAGCCCUCGAGGCGGCACACUGUAGCCACGCUUACCUCGACGAAGCCCUCGUCAUCAGGGACGAGGCUACAGUAAGCAGCCGCCGACAAGACCCCUAGGCAGUGGGGCCGGCCUGUCGACCAAGAGGCCGGCAGCCGGCGGGACCCACCAGUCGGCGGGCCCCAACAGCCGGCGGAGAAGCCGGCGAGCACAGACACUGACGACUGGGACCCGCGCCCAGCCGGAUUACAAUUGUACCCCCGGGGGGUAGGCCUAUUUAAACCCCCCGGGGCACCCAUGCAAAGGGUUGGCUUCUUAGAGUUACACACACAACAUAGAGAGAGGGAAGCAAGAGCUAGCCUUGCUCUUCUUCUCCCUUGAACCCGACAGCUCUAGGAGCAUUUGUAGCUACUCUUUCCGAUCUAGUGAUCAUGCGGAGACCCCGCAGAGCAGGACUAGGGGUGUUAUCUCCUCGGAGAGCCCUGAACCUGGGUAAGAUUCGCCAGCGUGCAUGUCUUCGCCUUAUCCCGUUUCCAGGCACCGGCGACGUCUUACUGACACCCACCAUGAUAAGCCACCCGUUGGCAUAUGUCGCACCUACCACCCGACACAACUGAUUUAUUUUGAAGUUCAGUUAACAUCUCCAAGGAGCACACAAAACAAAUAGACAAUUUGAUGUACUAUAUUUGCAUGAAGAGAUGAGGUAUGACACUCCUUUCAGUGAACUAAUUACCUAACCAGCAGUCAUUUCAAUUUCUCAAUUGAAGAAUUCCCCAAACAGAAAUGUGAGAACCAGCCUCCAUGAUCUACCUGAAUCAAUCAAUUGAAGCAAACCAGGAUUACGAAACACUAUACAAAACAAAGAUUGGAACUACAUUAUUGCAAGUUAAUUAUUGGUGGAAGAGGGGCAGAAAAAAUAAAGAUAAUGGGCAAUACGGUGGUGAAUCCUAGCUGCUUUAGUUUCUGCUGCUAGAGUAAGAAGAAGGACGGACCUGUUAGGCGGCCGGUGGAAGAGGACGGUGUGUCGCAAGGUCAAGAAAGCACGUAUCCGCAAGCUCAUGGGCCAAACUGCACAGCACAGAAACCUGGGUAAUGCAUAGAUUAAAAGAAGGCACCUACAUGUAAAAAAACACCUUUGUGUGAUCAAGAACAUCCAAGUUUCUUUCUAUGUGUGCAAGAUAUUUGUGAUUUCCUAACUAAAGAAGGUUUAAAUCCCGAAACAGAGCAAUUCAAGUUUGAGCCCAGUCUGCUCCCAGCGAUGGCAAGGGCCAAGCUCGACAGGGAGAACAGCGACUAAGAAAUUAAGAUGUUUCUUGAUCUAGCAAAAGGGAACCAGAUUAUUCAAAAGAAGGAAGCAUUUAUAUUUUCAAAUAUUCUUCAACAAACCCGCCAUGAAAUUAAGAUGUUUCUUGAUUAAGUAAGGAAACACACAAUUGAUAAACAGGGGAUGGACAUGCAUCCGUUGAAAAAAGGCAGAGAUAAAUUGCAAUACCUUCGAUUCAUCUUUAGAAAAGAUCCAGAGUUUCAAGUCAAAGAUAAAUUCAUAUUGCUAAUGUAACUACUACUGUACUUGUCUUAGAAGCAUGUCUCAAUCGAUCAGGCCUGAUUAUAAAUAUUUAUUAGGAUAAAGUUUGCAAUAUACAAUGUCAAAGUUACAUUUCCUUCCAGAUCUAAAUCAUCAACUCAUAAUAUGCCAAGUAAAUCAGAUCAUCACAUAACAGCUAAAGUAGAUGGCCAUAGAUCCAUGGUGACGGCAAGUUCAAAAUUUUCCCUGGAGGAAAUAACUAUCUAUGUAUACAAAAGCAAAAAAACAUUAGUAGCACCUAAGCAAGUCAGUCGCUGCAAGGCAUCAGCUAACCCACAAAAGAAUAUCGAUAGCAAUGGUGUAAGAGUUCAGUUUAAUAUGCAAAGAACAAUCUAUUGAACAAUGGCGCAAGAGUUCAUUUAACAUGCAAAGAAAAAUCUAUCGAACGAUGGCAUAAGGCCAGCAUGCUACCUCUUGUUAAGGUCCUCUCACAAAGACAUGGUUCGCUACACAGAGCUCUAACCCUUGUCUUUUUGGCACGUUGGCG